rnacentral:rRNA from 1 species
AGCGAACGCUGGCGGCAGGCCUAACACAUGCAAGUCGAACGAACCUUUCGGGGUUAGUGGCGUACGGGUGAGUAACACGUGGGAACGUUCCUUUAGGUUCGGAAUAACUCAGGGAAACUUGUGCUAAUACCGAAUGUGCCCUUCGGGGGAAAGAUUUAUCGCCUUUAGAGCGGCCCGCGUCUGAUUAGCUAGUUGGUUGAGGUAAUGGCUCACCAAGGCGACGAUCAGUAGCUGGUCUGAGAGGAUGAUCAGCCACAUUGGGACUGAGACACGGCCCAAACUCCUACGGGAGGCAGCAGUGGGGAAUCUUGAGCAAUGGGCGAAAGCCUGACGCAGCCAUGCCGCGUGAAUGAUGAAGGUCUUAGGAUUGUAAAAUUCUUUCAACGGGGACGAUAAUGACGGUACCCGGAGAAGAAGCCCCGGCUAACUUCGUG